ensembl:lncRNA
AUACCAAAGCCUGCAAUGUGCCACAACUGCUCUGGGAUAGGGCAUCAAUCUGCCAAGCACGACUGCCCCAGCAUCCGCCCACAGCUCUGCUGGCUCUGGACUGCACCUCAGAGGGGCCACCACAGUCAACAACAACAAGGCUGUCUUCCCUCAAACAAAGGCUGUGACAGAGGGAGGCAGCAAAUUUGGAAGAGAAGAUCUGAAGUUCAGAAAGACUGAGGAGCCUCAGACUGGACAGGGUUACAGAACUUUACAUGAGCAGCAAGUCAACGUUAACAGCAUUAGUAGCAACACUCAAAAUACAUGACAACCCACUCAUCUUCAUUUCCAAAUCAACAAUCAAUUUCCUCUCUUCCUCAGAAGAAGCUCAACAGAUAAAGCUAAGACUUCAGUACUCUUCCGAUCUGGAGAUACUUCCAAGGCAAGAGUCCUACAGCAAAUUCAUCCUGAUGCUACAGACUGCAUUGUGCUUCCCUAAGUAGCUGUAGCAGGG